CAUUGUAGGAUUGAUUGCGUUGCCGAGGUGCCCCUUCCAUCCUAUUUGCCAACCAAUCCCACUCCUCGCUACCCAUCCACACCAUCAACAAAUAAGCCAAACUAACUGAAACCCACUUCACUGAAUUUGAAAACAAACACAAUAGUUAAAUGGGAGUUGAAGAUUCAAAUGUCUCGGGUCCUAUUACCUGUCGGAGUUGUGGACUGUGGUGAUACUGUAAACAACAUUUGUUAGUAAGGGGGUUUCUUCUCUGGAAACGAUGUCGUGUAAGGCAGCAUAAUACACCGCUUAAGAAAUCGGAGAGUAUUUUAGGGUUCAUCAGGAAAUCAGAGAGUAUUUUAGGGUUCAUCAGGAAAUCGGAGAUCCAAAUUUGCGACAAGAUUCCGAUCGAAUAACAAGAACAGAACAGGGCUUUCCACUCUCUCUUCUUCAGGAGCGAAUACUCAAAUUCGCAGCCACUUAAGAUCAAGUUAUGGCAGAGAAGAACAUAACAUGAGAAGCUUUCCAAGAACAGAUUACAGAAAUGCAAGAUGAACAGAUGAAGGCACCUCAGAGUCACCAAAACAAUCCACAUGUCUAAUUGUUUUCCCUGAAUUCGAAGUCCUACCGAUAUAAAAGAAAAUCAGAAACCAACUCCAAUGCAGCAGCUUCUUUUUUCAGUAAGGUCUCUCUGGUUAUUCCUUUGGUUGCUUAGGUAUCAGUCACCAUUAUAUGGAUGUGCACUGAAACAUAGUAAAUCCAGAAUCUAGCAAACACGAACCCUUAUAAAUAAAACUGCAUGUAACACUAGUUAUUACUUGCAUUUACUGUAUCAGGCAUCGCAUUGCUUUACAGAAAAUAAAGUUUCUUUGGUCCCAAUUUUAUGUAAAGUCCUCACUUACAUCUUUAGUUCAUCUAUCAGGGCAAUACAGUCACACCUGCACAAGCAGCCAUCUGGUUGCCUUCUGAUUCAUUGAAGUUCUGCUGCCUCUUACAAUGGUCUAUACGCGUUUCAAUAGUGAUAAUUCUGUUCUAUCUGAUAAUGAUUUCUUGUUUUCUCUAUCUGGAUCAAAGACUCAAAGGGGAGGGGGGAAUUUCAAACAAAAAAAAAAAAAAAAAAAACCAUUGUGGUUGAGCGUGAGAUAAAGAAAUAGAGUUGAACCCAGAAGGGCCGUCACGGAGACAUGGUAGCAGUUGUCGCAGAAGAGUUUUGGGGAGGCCUUUGUAGUGACUGCCUGGCAUUCAUGCUCCCAGAAGGGCCGUCACGGAGAGCCCCUGCAAUGGAUCUCGUUUGGUGUAGCGUGAAUCUGAUUAGCAUGAAUCCAGAUCUUCUUUUUUUGUUUUUUUUUUCAAAUUAUAUUAUUAUUGUUAAAAUGUCAAACUUUCCUCAAACUUCUCAGGUGGAGGAGGUAACCAUGAAACAAUCAUCACACUUUCGGGAAAAUUGAGUCUGCUUGCACGCAGAGAAAGCACCAACUAACAUGGUAUCAGCUGAUGCUCAGCGCCACCAACAUCUCCAACAAGCCCACGGCGUUCCAGACCCCGAAACGCCGGUAGCAGCAUCAGAUGCUCAGCACCACCAACAACUCCAACCAGUCGACGUUCGGGUGCAGAACGAAGUUGACUGGCCUGCCAAAGUAACCGCACCAAAUUCAUUCCCCACUCCCUAUAAGCUUCCAGUUUCCCUCACACGCCGUCGUUAUUGCUGUCACUUUGCUCUUUGUCUCAAAGUUCAUGUAUCCCAAGUCACCAGAGCAAGCCCAAGUGCUAGAGGAUGUGGGUGUCGUCUUUGGGGUCACAGCCGCCUUCUUCGCCAUCACAAUGCCUUUCCCACUUUGCCAUAAGCUCAUUUACUGGACCAUUUUUGCUCUUGGUCUGCUGGCCAUUUUCAUCUGUUACCGCCAUUAACCAUGUGAUGAGGUGGGCAAUUGUGACCCAAUUUAUCAUCUGUUUUUCUGCUUUUGUUGUUAAAUUUGUUACUCUCUGAUUGUGACGUUGGUUAGAGGUUCACAGAGAAUAAGUAAAAGAUCCCAUUUUCAACUUAGAUUGUGGCUUGGGCGGAGUGAUUAAACUUACCAAAACAUCCAUACUGCAAAUUUCUGAUUGAUUAAGGGCUUGCUGUUCUUUAAUUGUGACCGUGAAUGCAUACUAAUCGUAAUAAAAUUGAGAUUUUUGUGUUUUUUUUUUUUUUUUUUUCUAAUAGAGUGAUGCCUAGUACUCACUCCUUGUAUUUGUUAUGAGCAAGCAAUGAAUACACUCUAUGCUCAAUACAAGUUGGCACACUUAUCCAGUGAAUACACUGAUUUCCAACAGACUUUUCAGUGUGGUAUUCAUCUGCUUGUGAUAA